GACGAACGCUGGCGGCGUGCUUAACACAUGCAAGUCGAACGAAGAGCGAUGGAAGCUUGCUUCUAUCAAUCUUAGUGGCGAACGGGUGAGUAACGCGUAAUCAACCUGCCCUUCAGAGGGGGACAACAGUUGGAAACGACUGCUAAUACCGCAUACGAUCUAAUCUCGGCAUCGAGGAUAGAUGAAAGGUGGCCUCGACAUGUAAGCUAUCACUUAAGGAGGGGAUUGCGUCUGAUGAGCUAGUUGGAGGGGUAACGGCCCACCAAGGCGAUGAUCAGUAGCCGGUCGGGGAGGAUGAACGGCCACAUUGGGACUGAGACACGGCCCAGACUCCUACGGGAGGCAGCAGUGGGGAAUCUUCCGCAAUGGACGAAAGUCUGACGGAGCAACGCCGCGUGAGUGAUGACGGCCUUCGGGUUGUAAAGCUCUGUUAAUCGGGACGAAAGGCCUUCUUGCGAAUAGUGAGAAGGAUUGACGGUACCGGAAUAGAAAGCCACGGCUAACUACGUG
rnacentral:rRNA from 1 species